GAAAUUCAGAUAUAUGAAGACUUACUUCAUCCAACACAAUGAAAUGUCACCCAGACUCUGAAGAGAAACCGCUGGUGCGUUUUAGAGGGUGGCAGCAGUCUGGGAGCACCAUACAGCACUGUGGAGGAGUGCUAGAAACUGCGAGAGAAAUACCAUGUAAAAGCUUCUGCAAGAGCCUUGGAGGAUGAGCCACAUGGGAUGAGCAGGGACAUGUACCCCAGCAUUCCUUCAAGGGGCAUGGCAGCCCAAAGCAAGAGUUGAUAACAAGCUGAUUGCCUCCUUCUGAUGGAUGAUUACACACAACAGAUGUUUUAAUUUGAUUAUAUCUGUGAGAUAAGCAUAAUGCUGUGUUAAGUCCAAACACUUUUUAUUAGUCUUUCAAAACAUUUUGCAUUGCAUGUAACCUUUUGUAAAUGUCCUUGCUCGAGGCCGCAUGUGUUCCUGUAGCAGUGCAAAUUAUUAGCAAGAAGUUCAAACCAGUGAUUAUGCAAAAGAAGAAAACUGCAUUUAAUAGUAGCUGUAAUUCUGUGCUCUCUGAUAACCUAAAUGAAGAGAGAAAUACGAUGCAAGCAAUGAUACAAGCACAAUUGUGUAACGCUACUCUGUAGAGGUCUGUGUGUUGUUCUUCAGCAAAGGAUUCACAAAAUGGGUAGAGCUUUUAUCAAGAAUGCUGA